GAGACACUAGUAAAAUGAAAUAACACUGCUUUGUCAAGGCAGAGUUGUGGGUUUAAACCCCGCGUGUCUUA
rnacentral:tRNA from 1 species